GAUGAACGCUGGCGGCGUGCCUAAUACAUGCAAGUCGAGCGAACAGACGAGGAGCUUGCUCCUCUGACGUUAGCGGCGGACGGGUGAGUAACACGUGGAUAACCUACCUAUAAGACUGGGAUAACUUCGGGAAACCGGAGCUAAUACCGGAUAAUAUAUUGAACCGCAUGGUUCAAUAGUGAAAGACGGUUUUGCUGUCACUUAUAGAUGGAUCCGCGCCGCAUUAGCUAGUUGGUAAGGUAACGGCUUACCAAGGCAACGAUGCGUAGCCGACCUGAGAGGGGGAUCGGCCACACUGGAACUGAGACACGGUCCAGACUCCUACGGGAGGCAGCAGUAGGGAAUCUUCCGCAAUGGGCGAAAGCCUGACGGAGCAACGCCGCGUGAGUGAUGAAGGGCUUCGGAUCGUAAAAACUCUGUUAUUAGGGAAGAACAAAUGUGUAAGUAACUAUGCACGUCUUGACGGUACCUAAUCAGAAAGCCACGGCUAACUACGUG
rnacentral:rRNA from 1 species